GGGAAGAGAGCGCAGCCACGACCUCCAGCUGCUCCGCUCUGCUGCAUCCCGGCAGCUCUCCAGAUGCUUGCACACCUUGUUUACAGCUCCCAGUAACGACACAGUAGUACCCACCACAGAUCUGAGCUCUACAGAGAGUUCUGGACUGGAGAUGCCAGUUUGAGGUCUUUCGCCCUUCAGAAGAUAAGGAAAAUGACACUAGGACAUUUAGCGACUUGCCCAAGUUCAUAUAGCUGGGAAGUAGUACAACUGGGCUUUAAUUCCAAACUCCAUGAUCCUUCCUCCACAAAACAAGCUUAAGACAGAAGAGGCAGAGCAGCAUGAAGGGAGCUGUCGAAGCCAUCUCAGGGGAGAAAAGAGGGCAGCAGACACAUUUUGUAAGCAGGGAGGAGUAUGGAAUUAAUAACUCAAGCAACGGGAAGAGUUUGCCUGUUUAACUCAGAAUUGCAAGAAGCCUUGGAGACCUGUUACAUUCCCAUCUCCUAGAUUGGCAUCUGGACAAGACACUACUCCUCAAGAUAUCAGUAGGUAUUGAACAACAGAAAAUAUUCUGUACGUAAGGGAAAACGCUAGAUUAAACUAAUGAAACAGAAUUUUGUUUUGGUUUGGUUUUAGCUACAGUACUCCUCAGGGCUUUCAAUGUGCUAACAUGGAACCAAAUUCUUUUACACCUUACCUAUUCAUCUUUCCAGAACUUUCUGUUCACUGAAAAAAAUUGGGACAAUGCAUCUCAAAGUGUAGCCUGCAGACUACCUGGAAACUGUCACUGGUCCUUAAGGAGAUAAAUACAAAACCUGAGAGUAAGUAUUUAAAGUUAUUACAAGCAAUUUGACAUUGCCACAACAUCCAAGGCUGUGAUCAGAGGACUCACUGGACAGGUUAUAGAACAGUGCAGGUGUUGCAAAUUGUAUGGCAGGAGGCAUCAUCAUAGAUCUGCCAAAUGCUGAAAAGCAGCAAAGGUGCUGAGUUAGCUAAGGCGUUUCAGCCUUUCUACCUUCCCCUCCAUUUCCCAUUGAGGCCUGAAGCUUCAAGAGAACAAGCAGGUUGGACUUGUCCGUUGAGAAGCCUUUCUGGGUAGAAAGGGCAGCCAGCUGCUUGUCCAGGCAGACAGGGUGUGAGUCUUCUCAGGUGAGUCAGAGGUAAAGAGGGAAGGCCUUCCUGCCUAGCUCAGUGAGGGGGUCCACCCUUAGCUUUGAAAAGCUCAGGAAAAAGUCCCAGCAACAUCGCUGUUUUCUUGCAGUUUGUUCCAAUGUUAUAUGCUCUCUUGUGUGUCAAUAUCUGCUGAGCUACAUUAGCAGUAACCAAGAGGAAAGGAGGCUUUUAAAGCCAAAGAAAAAUUGUCAUUUAAAAUUGUCACCUUGGGUACAAGCUUUUAUUCUAAUGAUGCUGACAUUAUUCCAAAAAUUUCUAGAACAUUUUAAGAAUUGCCCUAGGAGUUUGAAUCAUAAUAUUUUUUGAUUUUUUUUUUUUUUUUUUAAACCAGGGUCUUGCUCUGUUGCGCAGGCUGG